rnacentral:rRNA from 1 species
CCUACGGGGGUCAGCAGUGGGGAAUAUUGGACAAUGGGCGAAAGCCUGAUCCAGCCAUGCCGCGUGUGUGAAGAAGGCCUUCGGGUUGUAAAGCACUUUCAGUGGGGAAGAAAGCCUUGGGGCUAAUACCCUCGAGGAAGGACAUCACCCACAGAAGAAGCACCGGCUAACUCCGUGCCAGCAGCCGCGGUAAUACGGAGGGUGCGAGCGUUAAUCGGAAUUACUGGGCGUAAAGCGCGCGUAGGCGGUCUGAUAAGCCGGUUGUGAAAGCCCCGGGCUCAACCUGGGAACGGCAUCCGGAACUGUCAGGCUAGAGUGCAGGAGAGGAAGGUAGAAUUCCCGGUGUAGCGGUGAAAUGCGUAGAGAUCGGGAGGAAUACCAGUGGCGAAGGCGGCCUUCUGGACUGACACUGACGCUGAGGUGCGAAAGCGUGGGUAGCAAACAGGAUUAGAUACCCGAGUAGUC